GGGGAAGAGGCAAGAGAGCGUGUUUUAGCUUUACCGUCUCAGUCGCAGGGGAAGGCAAGGGGGAACUGGAUUAUGGAUGGUUUGGGGGCAGCCCAGUCCGAACUCGCCAAGGAGAAGGACAGUGAGACGUGUGGACAGUGAGCUCAGUCUUCACCUUCUUGGAGUUGAGCAAGUACGCGUUCAAAGUCAACCUUCCGCCCUUCUGUAAGUUGCUGCCUUGUUAUAAACUUGCAGCAUUGGAAAAAGAAUUUAGGGAUCAUUUGGAUUGGUCCAUAUUUAAAGAGAUGAAGAAGCUAAAGCUGAAAUACAGGGGCUUUGUCAAGCCUCCGCCGGAUGAGAACCUUUCACGCAGACCCUACCAGUCCCAUGGUCCUCCUUUGGAGUGAGCGCCAGAAUCGCCUGCUGGGCUUGUCAGGGUACCUCUUGCCGGGCCUCACCCCAAGGUCAGCACCCAGUAGAUUUGAGGUGGAGUCUGAGCAUUUGCAUCUUUAUGAUGUUCCCAGAUCACCUUUUUUUUUUUCUUUUUGGUCUUUUUAGGGCCACAGGCACGGCAUAUGGAGGUUCCCAGGCUAGGGGUCCAACCAGAGCUGCAGCUGCUGGCCCACACCACGGCCAGAGCGAUGCGGGAUCUGAGCCGCGUCUGUGACCUACACCACAGCUCAUGGCAACACUGGAUCCUUAACCCCCUGAGCAAGGCCAGGGAUCAAACCCGCACCCUCAUGGGUACUAGUUUGGUUCAUUACCGCUGAGUCACAAUGGGAACUCCCCAGGUGAUGUCGAUGCUGCUGGUCUGAGAAACCCCCCUGGCCUUUGAGAAGCACUCUGCCAACCAGCUGCAAGCUGGCAAUUUACAACCCGACAUCCCAUGGCAGACUUUCCUAAAUUAUGCUCUUUUCAUGGGUGCUUCUUUGCGCGUGUUCUUUAGCAACUAAAUAGCAUAGUGGCAGACAAUGAAAGUGACUAUCGGGCCUGCUAACGUCAGGGCUGGACUUGUAUGUUGUCACCUUGUUUGGGAGACUGUCCCUUUCUCCUGGGACCUGGCCAUGCCUCCUAAGGGUCUAACAGAGGCUCAUCCUCACUAACCUUGCCUUUUCCCCUAAGAUGACCCCUAACACACAUCAUCAACCUUUCUGUUCUGUGUCUCUUUUUCUUCUCACCCUGUAAAUCAGUAUCUGCAAACUGAAGGUGGCAAAUUUGUAUAAGUUGUAUCAUACUGUAUGUAUCGUUCUGUAACUUAACAUUUUUUGUUCAACAGUAUAUCCUGGUGAUACAUCUCAAUCUUGUUGAAUUUAACUGCUUCCUAGUGUUCUGUUUUCAAAUACUAUAAUGCAUUGAUCCUCUCCCCAUGUUUCAGGUUAUUUUAUUUUAUUUUAUUUUAUUUCAUUUUAUUUUAUUUUAUUUUAUUUUAUUUUACUUAUUUAUUAUUUUUUUGCCUUUUCUAGGCCUGGGAACCUCCAUAUGCCGCGGGAGCAGCCCAAGUAAUGGCAAAAAAAGACCAAAAAAAAAAGUCAGCUCUUACUUCUCAUGACUCCAAAUAAAAGCCCUUCUUCAAUGACCAAGGCCUGAGAGUGAGCACCCAUUGCCUGGGUUCUGUGCUACGGUCCCAGGAGAGAAUUUACACGUGCUGGACCCCUACCCCCUGUGCUGGCUAGCAAUGUGGCCACAUCAGAGGAUUCUUUGAAGAACUAUCCAAAUUAGUGGCUUAAAGAGUUAUCAGACUACAGGAUGCAAGAGCUCAGCAAGGUUCAGUUCUUGGAGGCAACUGUUUUCGUAGAAGGUCCGUGUUUGGGACACUUUUUGUUUUAAAUUUAAAUUUUGUUUUAAAUGUAUACAUGUAUAUAUAUAUUUAUUUUUAUAGCUUAUUUUCUUUUAAAAAUAUUUAAAAAUAUAAUUUGUUUACUUCCAUCCUCCACGAUAAAAUAAAUGAUUUAUGUUCACUGUAAAAAUUCGAGAAAUUUUUCAGAAAAUAGCACCUCAAAAUAAUUAUUCUUCCCACUUCCCAAAGACAAUUAUUGUUGAUAUUUUGCCAUCUCCUACUGCAUAUUUAUGCAUUUUUCCUCAGAACAUAUUAUGUGUCCUUUUUAAUAUUUUUAUACAACACCAUCAUAGGCAUUCUACCUCUUUUUUUAAAUGAUGAUUAAAUUGAUAUGUAAUAAUUUCCAAUGUAAAUAAUCUUUAUUUCACUUAAUCCUUCUGUGAUAUAUUUGCUUAAUUUUUCAUGCUGAAAAAAUAUUUUUUUUGGCAGCACCCCCAGCAUAUGGAAACUCCCGGGCCAGGGAUCAAACUCACACCACAGCAGUGAUCCAAGCCACUGCAGUGACACCGCCAGAGCCUGAACCUGUUGCACCCCAAGGGAACUCUGAGAAAAAAUUUUUAAAGUAGAGCUCUCCUCCCUUUAUAUAUUAGAUUAUUUCUAUAAAAUAGAAUCUUAGAAGUGGGGUUAUUAUUAUAAACAUUUUAAGGUUUUUGAUACAUUGUGGGGUGAGGGACCCGAUCUUAUGAAAGCUCUGUAGAAGUCAAGUCAUGACGCUAAAUGUCCUCGCUUUGUCCUAUGUCACUGCCUGCUCUCUGGACUUAAACUUCUGACUUAGCCAGAACACUCACGUUCUGAUGCAUUCAUUCAUUCAUUGCUCAUUUAUUCCUUCACUCACUCACUCACUCACUCACUCACUCACUCAUUCACAUAAGUCUCGUUAGAUGUCAGGCACUCUACUAGAUGCUGAGGAUAAGAUGCUAAGCAAAACUAGAAUUCCUACUCUGGCUCAGGAAGAUUUGGUUGAGAAAAGGGUUCGAUCAGAGGCUGAAUGGUUUAACGCUGACUGUCUACUUCUGGUUUUGUUUUUCUACCUGAAAUCUGCUGAUUCUAGAGAGAGAUGGCCAUACCCUAUGCAAUUUGAGAGACAUUUCAUUUGAGCCCUGGAGACAAAACUAAACCAUUUGCUCUGUACAUGGGCAGGGCUGCUCAUGGGUCUUACCUCCUUUUAAAAAUUAAAAUGCACUUGCCUUUCUGCUAGCAGUGGAAAGUGCAGGCUGGGGUCGGGAUUUUCCGCUGAUUUUAAGGACUGUGCCUGGUUUUAAUGUUCUUUGCAUUGGGAAGCAAAGUCCCUGAUUUUAUGACUCUACCCUUCAGAUCCUUCUCAUGGGUCAUCUUAACCUCUUUUUUUUGUUUGUUUGUUUGGUUUGGUUUUGCUUUUUAGAGCCACAUCCACGGCAUAUGGAGGUUCCCAGGCUAGGGGUCCAAUCGGAGCUGUAGCCACUGGCCUACUCCACAGCCAUAGCAACGCCAGAUCCGAGCUGCAUCUGUGACCUGCACCACAGCUCAUGGGAACUCGGGAUCCUUAACCCACUGAGCAAGGCCAGGGAUCGAACCUGUGUCUUCAUGGAUACUAGUCAGGUUCGUUAACUGCUGAACCACGACGGCAACUCCCCAAGAUUUUUUUUUUUUUUCCUGGUCAUCUUAACUUCAUACAGAGCAUUUGCAUUUGCCUUUUGCCUUCUUUGUGAUGGUGACUGGAAGUGAGAGCCACCAUCUGAAAAUGGCUUCUCCAUAGGCUUGGAGGAUAGACGUGUGCCUCUUAGCAGCCUGUGACUGAGGUCAGUGAGAGGAACUCUCCGACCAGCCCUGAUGAAGAAGCCAUGGUCGGUUGUCUGGGGAAAGUUUUGUCUGAAUCACUUGAAUCAGUGAAGUCAGAGCAGACUUUUCAUUGUGAUUAUGUGGGUCAUGCAGUCCUGAUGCCUCCCGGUGGACCUCAGUAAAGGGUGACUAAUGGAUCACAGGGUCGCCUGGUUAAGUGGAGGAGAAAAAUCUGGGCAGCCAGGGGCAAGGCUUGAGGCAGUCCCCGUCUGUGGCCACCCUCCGGCCAAGGCUGUCUGCUGUCACCCAAAGACACUGACUCAUCAGAGCCUCAUUAGAGGAAACUUCAGACACUCCUGGGCAGGUUCACGCACCCCCAGCUUUGCCCCUUGCCCCUGGCGCCUUGGGUGGUUGAUACCUCGGGGUCAAGAGGGCAGAGCCUGUGGCCGUGAGCAGAGCUGCUGUGGGAGAGCUCGCGGAAGGCAGCACUCCGUGUGAACCACGCUGUCAUUUGUGAGAGGGUCAGCCCAGCGCAGGCUCUGCUCUUCGUGAUGUCACCACUGAAGUCCCCUGGCUCUGAAUCCCAGUUGUUUCUUAUGUUAACUCUUUCGGUGUUGCUGUUAGUUGGUAAUAAGAGAAGAGGUUCUGAAGAUUACUCUGUAUUUUACCUUCAGUAACGUCCUGGCGUUCCCUGGUGAGGUUUGCAUCUUUCUUUCUCUCCCCCCGGAGCCCCACCUACCGGCUUCCUCUUCUAGUCCCCAUCCCCGACUCUCCUGCCUCUCUCUUU
rnacentral:lncRNA from 1 species